AUUGAACGCUGGCGGCAUGCCUUACACAUGCAAGUCGAACGGCAGCACGGGAGCAAUCCUGGAGGCGAGUGGCGAACGGGUGAGUAAUAUAUCGGAACGUGCCCAGUCGUGGGGGAUAACGCAGCGAAAGCUGUGCUAAUACCGCAUACGAUCUAUGGAUGAAAGCGGGGGAUCGCAAGACCUCGCGCGAUUGGAGCGGCCGAUAUCAGAUUAGCUAGUUGGUGAGGUAAAGGCUCACCGAGGCGACGAUCUGUAGCUGGUCUGAGAGGACGACCAGCCACACUGGAACUGAGACACGGUCCAGACUCCUACGGGAGGCAGCAGUGGGGAAUUUUGGACAAUGGGCGAAAGCCUGAUCCAGCAAUGCCGCGUGCAGGAUGAAGGCCUUCGGGUUGUAAACUGCUUUUGUACGGAACGAAACGGUGAGCUCUAAUACAGUUUGCUAAUGACGGUACCGUAAGAAUAAGCACCGGCUAACUACGUGCCAGCAGCCGCCGUAACAC
rnacentral:rRNA from 1 species